GUAUAGUUGAAGGAUGGGAUUAUGAUCUCGAUGAAAACUACAGAAAGACAAUGUAACAGUGGAGGACAUUCCUAAACGCAACUAGAAGAGGUGGUGUCCAGCCAUUAGAAUUGUAUCAAGGUGAAAUGUGGAAGGAUACUUGCCUAAACAACAAGAAUCUAAAACAGCCAAAGAGAGAAAAGAACAGAAGAUAAAAGCCAAUCUGGUGAUUUCCUCACAGUGAGGAUCAAUGUUUGUAACUCCUUUACCACAAAAUACUGAGGACAAAUGGGAUCCAAGGCAGAAAGUAAAACUGGAAACCAAUGCCACUAAGUAGAGU